AGAGCUUCAUCUCUCUCGACUACUUUUGGUCCUCCAUUUUCAAUCAAUCAAAGCUUUCUCUAGGGUUUUCAAUUUUUUCGUUUCCGUUCGUUUAAAAACCCUCCGUUUUCUUUGAAACAAACAGAGUUAGCGAUGAUCAUCCGGUUGAUUUUUCUAACCUUUUUUCUGGAAGUGGAAAAUCAAUUAUGCUGAUUACCAUCAAAGUAAAAGAAGGUGUAGUAGCUGAUGAAGAUUACAGAUUACCUAUUGGGCUAUUCGCCUCCUAUUUGGGCGACUUUGAUAGCUGGUGUCCUUUUAGUCAUAACGCUUUCGCUUUCAUUGUAUCUUAUUUUCGAACACCUCUCUUCGUACAAGAAUCCUGAGGAGCAAAAGUUUUUGAUCGGAGUUAUUCUUAUGGUUCCUUGCUACUCUGUAGAAUCGUUUGUAUCAUUGGUGGAUCCAUCAAUUAGCGUUGAUUGUUCGAUACUACGCGAUUGCUAUGAAUCAUUUGCCAUGUAUUGCUUCGGAAGAUACCUUGUUGCUUGCUUGGGUGGUGAAGAGAGGACUAUUGAAUUCAUGGAAAGACUAGGACGCGCAAGUGCUAAAACUCCACUAUUGGGACUUGACUGUGAAAAGGGAACUGUUAAGCACCCUUUUCCCAUGAAUUAUAUCCUAAGACCAUGGAAACUUGGUCAAUGGUUUUACCAAGUUGUCAAGUUCGGCAUAGUCCAAUAUAUGAUAAUCAAGUUAUUGACUGCUCUUUUAGCAGUAAUUCUUGAAGCUUUUGGUGUAUAUUGUGAAGGAGAAUUCAAAUGGGGAUGUGGGUAUCCUUAUAUGGCGGUGGUUCUCAAUUUUAGUCAGUCAUGGGCUUUAUACUGUUUAGUUCAAUUUUAUACUGUCACAAAGGAUGAACUGGCUCACAUAAAGCCAUUGGCCAAGUUUUUGACUUUUAAAUCAAUUGUGUUUUUAACUUGGUGGCAAGGUGUGGCGAUUGCCCUUUUUUAUGCUCUUGGUCUGUUCAGAAGUCCAAUUGCUGAAGGCUUGCAGUUCAAGUCAAGUGUCCAAGACUUCAUUAUAUGUAUAGAGCACAGAUGGGCAUUGCUUCUGUUGUUCACCUAUAUGUUUUCCCUUCCAAACCUUAUGAGCUAAUGGGAGAUCGCAUUCCCGGAAGUGUUUCAAUCCUUGGAGACUAUGCAUCUGUUGAUUGCCCUCUGGAUCCUGAUGAGGUUAGGGACAGUGAGCGACCCACAAAGCUACGCCUACCUCAGCCUGACAUAGAGGUUCGAAGUGGAAUGACCAUCAAAGAAAGUGUGAAGGACGUAUUUAUUGGUGGUGGUGGAUAUAUUGUGAAUGAUGUAAAAUUUACGGUAAACCAAGCAGUUGAGCCUGUUGAGAAGGGGAUUACCAAGUUCAAUGAGAAACUGCAUAAGAUCUCUCAAAACAUCAAGAGGCAUGACAAAGACAGGAGAAAGACAAAGGAUGAUAGUUGCCUUGCCACAUCUGCACGGAGGGUAAUUCGCGGUAUAGAUGAUCCCCUCUUAAAUGGGAGCAUUAGUGAUAGUGGGGUUGCAAGGGGAAAGAAACAUCGUAGAAAAUCAGGAUAUACCAGUGCAGAAAGUGGAGGAGAAAGCAGCAGUGAUCAGAGCCAUGGUGGAUAUCAGAUUAGGGGCCGUAGAUGGGUUACAAAGGAUUAAAGCUUAUGUGAAUAAUUGUGGCUAUAUGAACAGAAGACAUGCUGGUGUGAGUGCUUCAAGAGACAUCCCUAUUCUUAGCUUUUGGGUGGCUUUCUUGGUUGACAUGCUCAAGAGCAUUGUUUCUGCAAGAGGCGGCUGAAGAUUUCUUUCGAAUUCCUGCUGUUGAUAUUUUCCCAUCAAAUGGGGUGGUUGUUUAUGCAGGGGACUCAGUGGGUAAGUACUGUAAUAGGUGUCAUGUUGUAUACAGUUUAUUCAGGGCUUGGCCAUUGCAUACAAAGAAUCAAGAAUCGAGUUGCAUGACUGGUGACAUCUUUGCUCAUAAUUUUUUGAGAGAUGUUUUCAGGCCAAACCAAGCUUGACUAAUGUCUGGAAAUCAUUGCCCUGAAAGUUUUGAACAGAUCAGAGCUAUCUGUAUUCUUGCUAUGAAUAUAUGCACGAUAUUUGAAAGCA